rnacentral:rRNA from 1 species
GACGAACGUUGGCGGCGUGCUUAACACAUGCAAGUCGAACGGAAAGGCCCUGCUUUUGUGGGGUGCCCGAGUGGCGAACGGGUGAGUGACACGUGAGUAACCUGCCCUUGACUUUGGGAUAACUUCAGGAAACUGGGGCUAAUACCGGAUAGGAGCUCCUGCUGCAUGGUGGGGGUUGGAAAGUUUCGGCGGUUGGGGAUGGACUCGCGGCUUAUCAGCUUGUUGGUGGGGUAGUGGCUUACCAAGGCUUUGACGGGUAGCCGGCCUGAGAGGGUGACCGGCCACAUUGGGACUGAGAUACGGCCCAGACUCCUACGGGAGGCAGCAGUGGGGAAUAUUGCACAAUGGGCGGAAGCCUGAUGCAGCAACGCCGCGUGCGGGAUGACGGCCUUCGGGUUGUAAACCGCUUUCGCCUGUGACGAAGCGUGAGUGACGGUAAUGGGUAAAGAAGCACCGGCUAACUACGUGCCAGCAGCCGCGGUGAUACGUAGGGUGCGAGCGUUGUCCGGAUUUAUUGGGCGUAAAGGGCUCGUAGGUGGUUGAUCGCGUCGGAAGUGUAAUCUUGGGGCUUAACCCUGAGCGUGCUUUCGAUACGGGUUGACUUGAGGAAGGUAGGGGAGAAUGGAAUUCCUGGUGGAGCGGUGGAAUGCGCAGAUAUCAGGAGGAACACCAGUGGCGAAGGCGGUUCUCUGGGCCUUUCCUGACGCUGAGGAGCGAAAGCGUGGGGAGCGAACAGGCUUAGAUACCCUGGUAGUCCACGCUGUAAACGGUGGGUACUAGGUGUGGGGUCCAUUCCACGGGUUCCGUGCCGUAGCUAACGCUUUAAGUACCCCGCCUGGGGAGUACGGCCGCAAGGCUAAAACUCAAAGGAAUUGACGGGGCCCCGCACAAGCGGCGGAGCAUGCGGAUUAAUUCGAUGCAACGCGUAGAACCUUACCUGGGUUUGACAUGGAUCGGGAGUGCUCAGAGAUGGGUGUGCCUCUUUUGGGGUCGGUUCACAGGUGGUGCAUGGCUGUCGUCAGCUCGUGUCGUGAGAUGUUGGGUUAAGUCCCGCAACGAGCGCAACCCUUGUUCACUGUUGCCAGCACGUUAUGGUGGGGACUCAGUGGAGACCGCCGGGGUCAACUCGGAGGAAGGUGGGGAUGACGUCAAGUCAUCAUGCCCCUUAUGUCCAGGGCUUCACGCAUGCUACAAUGGCUGGUACAGAGAGUGGCGAGCCUGUGAGGGUGAGCGAAUCUCGGAAAGCCGGUCUCAGUUCGGAUUGGGGUCUGCAACUCGACCUCAUGAAGUCGGAGUCGCUAGUAAUCGCAGAUCAGCAACGCUGCGGUGAAUACGUUCCCGGGGCU